rnacentral:rRNA from 1 species
UACGUAGGGGGCAAGCGUUGUCCGGAUUUAUUGGGCGUAAAGGGCGCGUAGGCGGCUUGGCAAGUGGAUGGUGAAAUCCCUCGGCUUAACCGAGGAACUGCCGUCCAAACUGCUUCGCUUGAGACCGGGAGAGGUGAGUGGAAUUCCCAGUGUAGCGGUGAAAUGCGUAGAUAUUGGGAGGAACACCAGUGGCGAAGGCGGCUCACUGGACCGGUACUGACGCUGAGGCGCGAAAGCUAGGGGAGCAAACGGG